UUCCGGUUGAUCCCGCCGGACCCGACUGCUAUUUGGGUGAGGAUAAGCCAUGCGAGUCGUAUGGGAUACCUAAAAUUUCCAUGGCAGACUGCUCAGUAACACAUGAUCAACUUACCCUAUAGAGAAAAAUAACCUCGGGAAACUGAGGAUAAUGUUUCAUAGUUGAGAAGGCUUGGAAAAGUUUUUCAAUGAAAUGGAUAAGAAAAAUGGUUCUUAUCUGCUAUAGGAUAGGAUCGUGGUCGAUUAUGGUUGUUGGUGAGGUAACGGCUCACCAAGCCGAUAAUCGAUAGGGGCCGUGAGAGCGGGAGCCCCGAGAUGGGUACUGAGACAACGACCCAGGCCUUACGAGGCGCAGCAGGCGCGAAACCUCCGCAAUACACGAAAGUGUGACGGGGUUACCCAAAGUGUUCAAUAUUGAACUGUGGCAGGUGAGUAAUGUUCCCUGCUAGAAAGGAGAGGGCAAGGCUGGUGCCAGCCGCCGCGGUAAAACCAGCUCUUCAAGUGGUCGGGAUAAUUAUUGGGCCUAAAGUGUCCGUAGCCGGUUUAGUAAGUUCCUGGUAAAAUCGGGUAGCUUAACUAUCCGUAUGCUAGGAAUACUACUAUACUAGAGGGCGGGAGAGGUCUGAGGUACUACAGGGGUAGGGGUGAAAUCUUAUAAUCCUUGUAGGACCACCAGUGGCGAAGGCGUCAGACUGGAACGCGCCUGACGGUGAGGGACGAAAGCCAGGGGAGCGAACCGGAUUAGAUACCCGGGUAGUCCUGGCCGUAAACGAUGCAUACUAGGUGAUGGUACGGCCAUGAGCCGUGUCAGUGCCGUAGGGAAACCGUUAAGUGUGCCGCCUGGGAAGUACGGUCGCAAGGCUAAAACUUAAAGGAAUUGGCGGGGGAGCACCACAAGGGGUGAAGCCUGCGGUUUAAUUGGAUUCAACGCCGGGAAGGGCGAA
rnacentral:rRNA from 1 species